rnacentral:lncRNA from 1 species
GUAAAUGCAAACAAAAGAGAACACGUGAGUGGCUAUGUCAGACAAAGCACAGUUUAAGGGAAUAAGCAGCGUCAAGCAGGAUAAAAAGGGUAAUUUUAUAUUCAUAGGCACAAUUGUGAAAGCAUAAAUGUUCUGAACAUUUGUACACUUAGUAUUUUAGCAUCAAAAUACUUGAGGCAAAACCCGUUACCAUUAAAAAUACAAGAUGAAGACAGUUGUGGGCAUAAAUUUACAUACGAUUCUCAGUACCUGACAUCAAGUAGCCAAAAUGUAUAUAACAGAAAGGAGUAAUAUCAUGAAGACGAUUGAAUUAAAAGGCAGGUGCUGAACUUUGUACCAGCCUAAAGGAUUUUUUUUUGUCAUGUUUUAAAAGUCCAAUCAUAGAUUGAUGCUUCUAGUAUGUUAAAUUGUGUACAAAUGUAUAUAUACAGUAUAAUUAUCAUUGCCAUUUUAAAAGCUCUAAACCACUGAAAACCCACUGAAAGCCACUGAAAGAAAACACACCAAAACGUUAACAUUUGAUGUUUAGAAAGGGUGGAAAUUAAACAUUUAACAUUUUUCUUUCCACUUUUUCCUCAAUGUUCUUUAAUGAUCAUGUAAUAUUCUAUGACUAAGAAGAAGAUAACUGGAAAAAAGAGUUAAGACUUAUCGCCAUAGCAUAAGAUUUAUAAUUUCCAAGAUCUGGGUAAACUUUAACAAACUAGAGCAGUGAGCAGUAAUCCUAGCAGGUUCCACCCAACCCGGGCCUCCUGGCUUCAGCAGGCCCUCCUGGUCACUCCCUCCUUGAAACCUCUGCUUCUCUGCCUUGGGGCACUGUGUUCUCCCAACUCGGUUCCCACCCCUUCUACUGUGCCUUUCAACCCUUCCACCUGCACUGGCAGCUCAAGGGUGGUUGUCUUGAGACAGAUUCUGGCCUUUCCCCCUCUGCCCAUACCCCUGGUGACCUCACCUACUCUUGUAGAGGGCUCUAUAAGCCAAGGAUUCCUGGAUUCAUCUCUAGCUCCAAGUUCAUCACAAAGUAUCAAGGGCGUACAUGAGCCUGCAGACUGGCCACCAUCCCAUACAGGGGUGGCAGGCACAGUGGACAUGCCUUCAGAGCAAACUGUCACUGAAUUCUCUCUGAAGACAUGGUGAUGAGGCACAGGGCUUGAGUGUGACACGGGGGGUAGGUAGGGGGUGUUCCCGUCAUGGCGCAGCAGAAAUGAAUCUGACUAGGAAUCAUGAGUCUGUGGGCUCAAUCCCUGAUCCCUGGCCUCAAUUAGUGGGUUAAGGAUUCAGCAUUGCGGUGAGCAGUGGUGUAGGUUGCAGACGCAGCUCGGAUCUGGCAUUGCUGUGGCUCUGGCAUAGGCCAGAGGCUACAGAUCCAAUUCAACCCCUAGCCUGAGAACCUCCACGUGCCAUGGGUGCGGCCUUAAAAAG